GAUGAACGCUGGCGGCGUGCCUAAUACAUGCAAGUCGAGCGAACGGACGAGAAGCUUGCUUUUCUGAUGUUAGCGGCGGACGGGUGAGUAACACGUGGAUAGCCUACCUAUAAGACUGGGAUAACUUCGGGAAACCGGAGCUAAUACCGGAUAAUAUUUUGAACCGCAUGGUUCAAAAGUGAAAGACGGUCUUGCUGUCACUUAUAGAUGGAUCCGCGCUGCAUUAGCUAGUUGGUAAGGUAACGGCUUACCAAGGCAACGAUGCAUAGCCGACCUGAGAGGGUGAUCGGCCACACUGGAACUGAGACACGGUCCAGACUCCUACGGGAGGCAGCAGUAGGGAAUCUUCCGCAAUGGGCGAAAGCCUGACGGAGCAACGCCGCGUGAGUGAUGAAGGUCUUCGGAUCGUAAAACUCUGUUAUUAGGGAAGAACAUAUGUGUAAGUAACUGUGCACAUCGUGACGGUACCUAAUCAGAAAGCCACGGCUAACUACGUG
rnacentral:rRNA from 1 species